rnacentral:hammerhead_ribozyme from 1 species
ACCUAACUGACGAGUGCCAAAUAACACGAAACUCGAGUCCAGAGU